AGUCUGAUGGUGCUACGCCGCGUGGAGGAUGACGGUCCUAGGAUUGUAAACUCCUGUCAUUGGGGAGUAAGACUUAUGCGUUAAGAGCGUGUAAGUUUGAUAGUACCCAAAGAGGAAAGGACGGCUAAU
rnacentral:rRNA from 1 species